UCUGGUGGCGAUAGCAAAGAGGUCAUACCCGUUCCCAUGCCGAACACGGAAGUCAAGCUCUUUAGCGCCGAUGGUAGUUGGGGGUUUCCCCCUGUGAGAGUAGGACGCUGCCGGGC
rfam:Kurthia sp. 11kri321, complete genome.